rnacentral:snRNA from 1 species
GUACUCGCUUCGGCAGUACAUACACCAAAAUUGGAACGAUACAGAGAUUAGCAUUCCCCUACGCAAGGAUGACAUGAAAAAUCGUGAAGCGUUCCAUAUAUUU